rnacentral:rRNA from 1 species
CGAUGCAACGCGAAGAACCUUACCCAGGCUGACAUGCAGCUGCAAGGCCGAUGAAAGUCGGCUGCUUUCGAGGGUGCUGCACAGGUGCUGCAUGGCUGUCGUCAGUUCGUGCCGUGAGGUGUUUGGUUAAGUCCACCAACGAACGCAACCCCUGCACGCCGUUGCCCGCAAGGGCUCUCAGCGUGGACUGCCCCGUUUUGGGAGGAAGGUGGGGAUGACGUCAAGUCAGUAUGGCCCUUACGCCUGGGGCCGCACACGUGCUACAAUGGCCGGCACAGAGGGACGCGAGACCGCGAGGUGGAGCAAAACCCAGAGAACCGGCCCCAGUUCGGAUUGGAGUCUGCAACCCGACUCCAUGAAGUUGGAUUCGCUAGUAACGGCGCAUCAGCAGUUGGUGCCGUGAAUACGUUCCCGGGCCUUGUACACACCGCCCGUCACAUCAUGAAAGCCGUCUGCACCCGAAGUCGGCGUCCCAACCCGCAAGGGAGGGAGUCGCCUAAGGUGU